ACGGAAGGCAGUAGUGGGGAAUAUUGGGCAAUGGGCGAAAGCCUGACCCAGCAACGCCGCGUGAAGGAAGAAGGUCUUCGGAUUGUAAACUUCUUUUAUGAGGGACGAAGGACGUGACGGUACCUCAUGAAUAAGCCACGGCUAACUACGUGCCAGCAGCCGCGGUAAUACGUAGGUGGCAAGCGUUAUCCGGAUUUACUGGGUGUAAAGGGCGCGUAGGCGGGAAGGCAAGUCAGAUGUGAAAUCCAUGGGCUCAACCCAUGAACUGCAUUUGAAACUGUUUUUCUUGAGUGCUGGAGAGGUAGACGGAAUUCCUUGUGUAGCGGUGAAAUGCGUAGAUAUAAGGAAGAACACCAGUGGCGAAGGCGGUCUACUGGACAGUAACUGACGCUGAGGCGCGAAAGCGUGGGGAGCAAACAGGAUUAGAUACCCUGGUA
rnacentral:rRNA from 1 species